GAUGAACGCUAGCUACAGGCUUAACACAUGCAAGUCGAGGGGAAACGACAUCGGUAGCGUUGCUUUUGAUGGGCGUCGACCGGCGCACGGGUGAGUAACGCGUAUCCAACCUGCCACCACUUGGGGAUAACCUUGCGAAAGUAAGACUAAUACCCAAUGACGUCUCUAGAAGACAUCUGGAAAGGGAUUAAAGAUUUAUCGGUGAUGGAUGGGGAUGCGUCUGAUUAGCUUGUUGGCGGGGUAACGGCCCACCAAGGCUACGAUCAGUAGGGGUUCUGAGAGGAAGGUCCCCCACGAUUGGAACCUGAGACACGGUCCAAACUCCUACGGGAGGCAGCAGUGAGGAAUAUUGGUCAAUGGGCGAGAGCCUGAACCAGCCAAGUAGCGUGCAGGAUGACGGCCCU
rnacentral:rRNA from 1 species